rnacentral:sRNA from 1 species
UACCUAAGGCUCAAGCUUCGGCUUUUGUACGGUAGCAAAAACCUUGUAAGCAUACUGACCCCGUCGUUAGGAUGCUUACAAGGUCAUGCUUGGAAACUUGCAUGAGGACUUCGGUUCC